rnacentral:rRNA from 1 species
AACGAACGCUGGCGGCAUGCCUAACACAUGCAAGUCGAACGAGACCUUCGGCUCUAGUGGCGCACGGGUGCGUAACGCGUGGGAACCUGCCCUUAGGUUCGGAAUAACUCCCCGAAGGGGGUGCUAAUACCGGAUAAUGUCUUCGGACCAAAGAUUUAUCGCCUUUGGAUGGGCCCGCGUUGGAUUAGCUAGUUGGUAGGGUAAAAGCCUACCAAGGCGACGAUCCAUAGCUGGUCUGAGAGGAUGAUCAGCCACACUGGGACUGAGACACGGCCCAGACUACUACGGGAGGCAGCAGUGGGGAAUAUUGGACAAUGGGCGAAAGCCUGAUCCAGCAAUGCCGCGUGAGUGAUGAAGGCCUUAGGGUUGUAAAGCUCUUUUACCCGGGAUGAUAAUGACAGUACCGGGAGAAUAAGCUCCGGCUAACUCCGUG